UGGCCUUUAAACAGGCAUAUGAUGUUCUAAUGUUCUGAAGUUUUUUCAAUUCGUACUCUGUCUAUCUUCCUCUCUCGGUCACACUAUUAAUGGGUACAGGUAUUCUUUCACGUAGAUUUAAGAUAUAGUGUGAAUAGACGUACACAGACCACAAAUACCAUAAAACCAUGAAGUCAUUACACGAACAGCGUAUUUUCGGUUUCACCAAAGAAAUAUUAGACGUAUAGGUAUGUAUCAACGAUCAGUAAAGCAGUGAUAUCAAAUCUCGCGAACGUGAUUCAAUUCGUAUUUGUCAUGACUAAUCGACUCGGUCGCUGCUAUUUUACAAAUUCAACUUUACUCGACAGAUGGAUAUUUUUUAUACUGUGGUUGAUUUCCAGUAGUUUUACAUUCGUUUUUCAUAGUUAUCACGGAGGGGGGGCGGUAGAGGGAAUUGUAUAAAUGUUUAUUCUUCCGU